AUUGAACGCUGGCGGAAUGCUUUACACAUGCAAGUCGAACGGCAGCACGGACUUCGGUCUGGCGGCGAGUGGCGAACGGGUGAGUAAUAUAUCGGAACAUGCCCAGUCGUGGGGGAUAACGUAGUGAAAAUUACGCUAAUACCGCAUACGAUCUAUGGAUGAAAGCGGGGGAUCGCAAGACCUCGCGCGAUUGGAGCGGCCGAUAUCAGAUUAGGUAGUUGGUGAGGUAAAGGCUCACCAAGCCAACGAUCUGUAGCUGGUCUGAGAGGACGACCAGCCACACUGGAACUGAGACACGGUCCAGACUCCUACGGGAGGCAGCAGUGGGGAAUUUUGGACAAUGGACGAAAGUCUGAUCCAGCCAUUCCGCGUGCAGGACGAAGGCCUUCGGGUUGUAAACUGCUUUUGUACGGAACGAAAAGGUCUCUAUUAAUACUAGGGGCUCAUGACGGUACCGUAAGAAUAAGCACCGGCUAACUACGUGCCAGCAGCCGCGGUAA
rnacentral:rRNA from 1 species